rnacentral:lncRNA from 1 species
GCCUCUAUUGCGCGACUUAAAAAACAAGUCAAUUCUGAGAUCGUCACCGUGGACAUAGAGACUGACAAUCGGAAAUCUAAAGCACCAGUGAUCUCAUCUCUCCUAUCCGUAUCUGCGUUAAUCUGGAGAUCGAUCACAAGAGCUCGGUGUUUACCAAAGACUGAACUGGUAAGUUUUAAACUGGCGUGCAAUUACCGGUCAAGAAUGUUACCUCCACUUCCGCCGACAUACUUCGGAAACUGCAUCGGAGCAGUCUCCACCGUCCCCAUCCCUUCCGGCGAUCUUCUCGCACGAAACCUUGGACAGACGGCUUCCCUAUUACACGGCAUCGUGAGUUCGGUGAAGGAUGACGUUAUAAUACGGAAAGAAAUCGACAGAUAUGUGUCGGAACCUGUAUUUUUCUCAAUCAGUGGCUUCGCAAAGAACAAUGGUGUUGGGAUGACAAGUUCACCGCGGUUUGAGGUAUACGAGUGUGAGUUUGG